GUGGAUGUAGUUCAGUUGGUUAGAGCGCUGGAUUGUGGUUCCAGAGGUCGCCGGUUCGAACCCGGUCUUCCACCCA
rnacentral:tRNA from 2 species